AUUGAACGCUGGCGGCAGGCCUAACACAUGCAAGUCGAACGGCGCUGACGAGUGGGUAAUGCCUAGGUAUCUGCCUGGAAGUUGGGGAUAACGUCCGGAUACGUGCGCUAAUACUGCCUACUAUCAGAUGAGCCUACGUGGGAUCAGCUAGUUGGUGGGGUAAAGGCCUACCAAGGCGACGAUCCGUAACUGGUCUGAGAGGAUGAUCAGUCACACUGGAACUGAGACACGGUCCAGACUCCUACGGGAGGCAGCAGUGGGGAAUAUUGGACAAUGGGCGAAAGCCUGAUCCAGCCAUGCCGCGUGUGUGAAGAAGGUCUUCGGAUUGUAAAGCACUUUAAGUUGGGAGGCGGUACCAAAAGAAUAAGCACCGGCUAACUUCGUGCCAGCAGCCGCGGUAAUUC
rnacentral:rRNA from 1 species